GUAGUCGUGGCCUGGUGGUUAAGUUGAUUGACUAGAAAUCCAUUGGGCUCUGCCCGCGCAGGUUCGAAUCCUGCCGACUACG
rnacentral:tRNA from 1 species